ACACUGACGUCGCGAUGCAUAUCAAUAAGCGGAGGAAAAGAAACUAACUAGGAUUCCCUUAGUAACGGCGAGUGAAGCGGGAAGAGCUCAAAUUUGAAAUCUUCAAGGUUCUACCUUGACGAAUUGUAGUUUAAAGAAGUGUUUUCUGUUGGAGUUUUGGUAAAAGUUCUUUGGAAUAGGACAUCAUAGAGGGUGAGAAUCCCGUAUUUGACCAUUAUUUCCAACUUUGUGAUACACUUUCAAAGAGUCGGAUUGUUUGGGAAUGCAGUCCAAAAUGGGUGGUAAAUUUCAUCUAAAGCUAAAUACUGGCGAGAGACCGAUAGCGAACAAGUACCGUGAGGGAAAGAUGAAAAGAACUUUGAAAAGAGAGUUAAACAGUACGUGAAAUUGUCAAAAGGGAAGCGUUUGACACCAGUGUUGUUUUCUCGAAAAUCAAUUAAAAAUGACCGGAUUUUGUGUUGUAUUGACUUUAUCAGCUUUCUGCACUUUUUUCUUGUCUUUUUUAAUGCACUUUUCGUUUAACAAGUCAACAUCAAUUUCUUUUGCUGUAAAAGGGUCAUUGGAAGGUGGCUUUCAUUUCGGUGAAAGUGUUUAUAGCCUUUGACUUCUGCAAUCGGAGAGAUUGAGGUCUGCAGCGUAGAUCCUUCGGGGUUAGAUACAUUUGUGCUAAGUUAUAGUUUUUCGUAGACAACAUGUUGACUAUGAUUAAUCAUGUAGCUUACUCGCUUAUGCUAUUUUACCUACGCUUAGGAUGUUGACGCGCGUGUGUGCGUG
rnacentral:rRNA from 1 species